CGUAGGUGCGAGCGUUGUCCGGAAUUAUUGGGCGUAAGAGCUCGUAGGCGGUUUGUCGCGUCGGUUGUGAAAGCCCGGGGCUUAACCCUGGGUCUGCAGUCGAUACGGGCAGGCUAGAGUUCGGCAGGGGAGACUGGAAUUCCUGGUGUAGCGGUGAAAUGCGCAGAUAUCAGGAGGAACACCGGUGGCGAAGGCGGGUCUCUGGGCCGAUACUGACGCUGAGGAGCGAAAGCGUGGGGAGCGAACAGGAUU
rnacentral:rRNA from 1 species